GGGCAUCCCUGCUCACUAGGCUGUGAUCAGCACUUCCUGAACAACAGCCCUUACCCCAUUGCAACCCACAGCUUUCAGCUAUGCAAAGGAAGCCAGCAGAAUUGUAGGGCAAGCAAACAGCCCACAGCCACUUGGUAAAGAAGCACUGGUCUGCUUCAAGGUCUGCUACAGCGACAGGCAGGGCCCUCAGUGACAUGGGAAGGGAAGGGUGUGCCUGGCUUUGUCUCUUCUGCUGAGAAGCCUGGGCUGAGCAGAGCAGUAGUGGUAAAUGAUCAGUGGGUGACAAGAACAGUCCCCGCAGCUCUGUGGAGGGUGACUCACAGCCAUGAAGUGGGGACAAGGAGACACAGCCUUGGCUCCCAGGGUGUCUGCCGCCUGUAAGGCUGUGGAUGUGAAUUAUGGGUGGAGAUUUGGGGUUGCUGCUUUUUGACAGGCCCGGCUCUACUUACUGUGUGAUGGUGAGCCAACCACAGGACCUCUCUGAUUCUUUCCUCAUCUGUGAGACUGGGGAAACAGGCCUGGCUCUUUGGAAAGGCUCUCCGUGAGGACAAUGUGUCAGACAGUGGCAGGACACAGUAAGUAACUUACUGCGAGUUGGCCAUGCUCCACGCUGAGAUCAUCUGGUGGGUGGGUGGAGCUAAGGAGAUACUCUGCUAAGAUCUGCCUCCCCAUUCUGAGCCUGGAGUCCUCCUCAGGAGACUGAAGACUUGUCAGCGCUCCUGAUGAUCCCUCCAGCUUAACACCCAGAGGACCAGAACCAAGACCCCAGAACAGAAGAGGAAAGCAAAGGGCAAACCCCUAGGGUGUGCCCAGAGGGACCACAAGGGCAGCUGCUGUCAAUCUCUCCCAUGCUCCAGCCGGAGGAUACUGUUCACGUCACAGAUGAGGACCACCACGUCUUUUGGAUGUUAGAAAGAACAGAAGAGCCAAGAAUGGAGUGUGUACUUGUAAUCCUAUCAGGUCAGGAGCAUGAAGAGUUCAAGGCCAAGUGUUUUGGGUAGUUCUUUUUGUCAUCUUGAUACAAGCUAGAGUCUCCCAGGAAGAUGGAUGCUCAAUUGAGAAAAUGUCUAAACAGACUCACCCGUGGAACUGAGACUGAGGGAAGCAACCAAUCAUUUGUAGCCACUCAGUGGUGGAGGCUUGAACUCACAGAGCAUCAUCCCACAUUCCUCACCAGAUGGAUGAGCCAGUGGCCCCCGACUAGCAGAUGCCACACCUAGUUCUGGAACUGUGCGGCGGUGAACAGUGACACUUCACCAGCCCAGACCCUCUCAUCCAGCACUGCAGAGGAGCUCUCCCCUGGGAACUGCUAGCCAUGACUUGGAGACCCUGGUUCUGGUCCUCUGCCCCUUCCCUUGCUCCCGGCCUGGAAGGAAUCACCGGCCAAGCCCAAGGCCACCACUUAAGGCUGAGGCCAAGGAGCAUCCCAGUUUGUGGAGUUGACAGUUGCUUUGGGCAAGCUGCAAGCAAACAGCUGUGACUUCAGUCCCCAAAGCUCCCCCUUCUCCUUACCUGUGUCAACAUUUUUAUUUUUUAAAGCAAUACAGCCAAGGUGGGGGUUGGGAGUGGGCAAUGGGGAGGGAGGGAGCCAGGGCCUCUAUCAGCUCUGGGGUCCUUGCAUAUGUAACACUGUCGUAUAAUUAACAGUGAAGAUCAUUUACAUUGUCGCUUAGCUAAUUUUCAUAAUGUUUUCUUUAUUAUCAGAGGAAGAAAUUAACCCAAGAAUUUAUUUACAUAGCAGCCUCAAACAGUAACAGCUUGCUAAUUGCCUGUUAGGUGAUUAAUAAGCUUACAGCAGAUGCUAAUGCGUCGUGGGCUCCCGUUUCAAAGGUGCUCUUCCUGCACGCCUGUGUUUUUGGCAGCUUAAUUAGUGCAAUAAUUAUGUACUUGUUGCUCCUUCUUUCGAGCAAAUACUGUCAAAUGCUUAAAAGAUUAAAGUGAAUUAUAUCCUGAGAAC